GCGGAGGAAAAGAAACCAACAGGGAUUGCCCUAGUAACGGCGAGUGAAGCGGCAACAGCUCAAAUUUGAAAUCUGGCUUCGGCCCGAGUUGUAAUUUGUAGAGGAAGCUUUUGGCGAGGCACCGACUGAGUCCCCUGGAACGGGGCGCCAUAGAGGGUGAGAGCCCCGUAUAGUCGGACGCCGAGCCUCUGUAAAGCUCCUUCGACGAGUCGAGUAGUUUGGGAAUGCUGCUCUAAAUGGGAGGUAAAUUUCUUCUAAAGCUAAAUAUUGGCCAGAGACCGAUAGCGCACAAGUAGAGUGAUCGAAAGAUGAAAAGCACUUUGAAAAGAGGGUUAAAUAGCACGUGAAAUUGUUGAAAGGGAAGCGCUUGUGACCAGACUUGCGCCUGGCCGAUCAUCCGGGGUUCUCCCCGGUGCACUCGGCCAGGCUCAGGCCAGCAUCGGUUCUCUCGGGGGGACAAAGGUCCCGGGAACGUAGCUCCCUCCGGGGAGUGUUAUAGCCCGGGGCGUAAUGCCCUCGAGGGGACCGAGG
rnacentral:rRNA from 1 species